GGUAGAGCUCAGUGGUAAAGCUCGUGCUUAGCAUGCACGAGGUCCUGGGUUCAAUUCCCCAGAACUUCCA
rnacentral:tRNA from 1 species